rnacentral:lncRNA from 1 species
AGUCUCGGAAUGUUUUGAUUGUGGAGUUUAUAGAGUUCAGGCUGAAGUUUUAUAAAAAUAACUUGCAGCAGCAUGGAGGACUGAUGAGAAAGUAGACAGAUGCUGGAAGCAGGAAAACUGAACAGCAGGUCACUGGCCAAGGAGAAUCAAAGAGCUAGAUGCUGAGAAUAAUGCAGCCAUAACGUGAAAUCUUUUUGAGAGAGGAGGCAACCAAUUUCAGAGA